rnacentral:lncRNA from 1 species
AGAAUUCGAAAUUGAGUCUUACACUCUUACAAUUUUUGACCGAAUCUAGCUAAAAUAUCAAAAAUUUAAUUCUGGAACAAAUCAUAUAUGGUUGGCCGUAACGUUUACCUUUCCUCCCUUGGUCUUCGGAGCAAGUGACGCACAUAGGAUUUUUUUUUUUUUUCGUCAAAAUAUAAUUUAUAUAGAUGAAUUAAUGUAAUCAUGAUACAUUUGUUGUGACGCACAUAGGAUAUAGACAAUUUCGAUCACACAAAAUAUUAUCAUGUAUCUUUGGAACUAUUUUAUGUCUUUUAGCUAAAUAUAUUAGCAUGCAUUAUAUUAUACUAUUCAUCUUAAAAUAUGCUUAGUUCAAAUCAUUUACUAUAAAAU